AGAUUUAAUAGGAAUCUGAGGAGUAACUUUUUCACACAAAGGGUGAAGGUAUAUAGAAUGAACUGCAAGAGGAAGUAGUUGAGGCAGGUAUAAUAACAACAUUUAAAAUAAAUUUGGAGAGGUACAUGGAUAGCAAAGGGUUUAGAGGGAUAUGGGG